UACGUAGGGUGCAAGCGUUGUCCGGAAUUAUUGGGCGUAAAGAGCUCGUAGGCGGUUUGUUGCGUCGGCUGUGAAAUCCCGAGGCUCAACCUCGGGCCUGCAGCCGAUGCGGGCAGACUAGAGUUCGGCAGGGGAGACUGGAAUUCCGUGUGUAGGCGGUGAAAUGCGCAGAUAUCAGGAGGAACACCGGUGGCGAAGGCGGGUCUCUGGGCCGAUACUGACGCUGAGGAGCGAAAGCGUGGGGAGCGAACAGG
rnacentral:rRNA from 1 species